rnacentral:tRNA from 1 species
GGAAGGAUGGCUGAGUGGUCGAAAGCGAUCGCCUCGAAAGCGAUUGUCUCGCAAGAGACCGCAGGUUCGAAUCCUGCUCCUUCCGCCA